GUGCUUGCUUUGGCAGUACAUAUACUAAAAUUGGGAUGAUACAGAGAAGAUUAGCAUGGUUCCCGCAUAAGAGUGACCUGCAAAUUUGUGAAGUGUUUCAUAUUAAA